GACGAACGCUGGCGGCGUGCUUAACACAUGCAAGUCGAGCGGUAAGGCCCUUUCGGGGGUACACGAGCGGCGAACGGGUGAGUAACACGUGGGUGACCUGCCCUCAGCUCUGGGAUAAGCCCGGGAAACUGGGUCUAAUACUGGAUAUGACUCCAUGACGCAUGUUGUGGGGUGGAAAGCCUUGUGCGGCUGGGGAUGGGCCCGCGGCCUAUCAGCUUGUUGGUGGGGUGAUGGCCUACCAAGGCGACGACGGGUAGCCGGCCUGAGAGGGCGACCGGCCACACUGGGACUGAGACACGGCCCAGACUCCUACGGGAGGCAGCAGUGGGGAAUCUUGCGCAAUGGGACGAAAAGCCUGACGCAGCGACGCCGCGUGAGGGAUGACGGCCUGU
rnacentral:rRNA from 1 species